rnacentral:rRNA from 1 species
CUAGCGCACUCCUACGGGAGGCAGCAGUGGGGAAUAUUGCACAAUGGGCGCAAGCCUGAUGCAGCCAUGCCGCGUGUAUGAAGAAGGCCUUCGGGUUGUAAAGUACUUUCAGCAGUGAGGAAGGUGGGUAUGUUAAUAGCAUACUCAUUUGACGUUAGCUGCAGAAGAAGCACCGGCUAACUCCGUGCCAGCAGCCGCGGUAAUACGGAGGGUGCGAGCGUUAAUCGGAAUUACUGGGCGUAAAGCGCAUGCAGGUGGUUUGUUAAGUCAGAUGUGAAAGCCCGGGGCUCAACCUCGGAAUUGCAUUUGAAACUGGCAAACUAGAGUACUGUAGAGGGGGUAGAAUUUCAGGUGUAGCGGUGAAAUGCGUAGAGAUCUGAAGGAAUACCGGUGGCGAAGGCGGCCCCCUGGACAGAUACUGACACUCAGAUGCGAAAGCGUGGGGAGCAAACAGGAUUAGAUACCCUGGUAG